GGGGUUGUGGCUCAAUGGUACAGCACGCGCCUAGCAUGCAUGAGGCCCUGGGUUCGAUCCUCAGCACCA
rnacentral:tRNA from 1 species